CUCCAGAGGGUCUGCCAUCUGUGGCUUCCAGAAGAUGUCUGAAAAGAGAGAGAAGCAUAUCACAGCUGCAAAGGAAAGCGCCUGCUGAUUUUAUAUACUCAAUAUGAAGCCUGCUGUAAACCCAACCCUGCACGAUGCAUGAUGCGAAAUGCACAGUCAUAACGAAGCCCUCAUCUCUUCCGUCAAGAUGCUCACAAAUCAGGUGGAUUCUUUACUGCUGAGGCAUCAGGAAAGCAAAUUAGCUAUACUUCAAUUUAAAACAAACAAACAAUAAAACCUUAAAACAAAACAAAUGAGUCAUAGACAUCUAACGGAUAUAUUGUUUAAAGAAGACAAAAACUAAACUGGUUAUAGAUUUGGAAAAGAGCAGAGGAGAGAAAUGGUUAAAGGAACCGAGAUUGGCCCCUCAGGGUGGCUGAGUAAUAUAUGGAGUGUUAUUAAAUCAAAGUCCCCUAUCACCGAGGAGAAAACAACCAAAAACUGGCUUUAAGUCAAUCCAGAAAGAUGUCAGCUUAGUUUUUAGGAUGAAUUCUUCGUGCAUAAGUUGAUAUGUAUCAUAUUAGAUUACAAAGGGAAGUCUUGUAAUCUUGUUCCCAGGAGAUGCUUGGAUGUGAGACAGGAAAGCCCCAGUAACACGCAUGACCAUUUCGAGUGGCUGAUUCACCCAGAGCCAGAGGAGCACACUAGAAGACUUCCUGGGGUUCUCACAGGCUCAGGAUUUUCUAAUAAUUCAACAAACACAAGGCUGUCAGAGUGACUGCUCUGUGACUGCUCAGCAGUUCUGGAAAAUUCCAAAUACUUUUUCUUUGUACAAAUGAGGCUAACAGCAAGAAUAGAUUUUACAAGGACAUUUUACAACCAAUCAGCACCUCACGAAAUGGAAUAAAUACCUGCUUCUUUCUUAAUGCAGUAAAUGAGUAGACAUAGUUUACAAUACAGCCAGCCUCGGUGCCAUUAAAAGAACUGGUGGGAAAAAAGCACCAUGCAUGGAUAAACCUUGUAGAUAGUCAGUGUUUUGGAAAGAGAGUUGGUGGCCCUGGUGUUCCCAGAGGAGUUUCACUGGGUUCUUUAAGCAAAGUCAGUCUGCCACAUUGAGGAAACCCAGGGUCAGCCUUAAUGCUUUCGGUCCCAAGAGAAAGUUGUCCAGUUGCCAGAACAUGAAGGAGAAAGAGAAGGAAAAU
rnacentral:lncRNA from 1 species